GAUGAACGCUGGCGGCGUGCCUAAUACAUGCAAGUCGAGCGAACAGACGAGGAGCUUGCUCCUCUGACGUUAGCGGCGGACGGGUGAGUAACACGUGGAUAACCUACCUAUAAGACUGGGAUAACUUCGGGAAACCGGAGCUAAUACCGGAUAACAUGUUGAACCGCAUGGUUCAACAGUGAAAGACGGUCUUGCUGUCACUUAUAGAUGGAUCCGCGCCGCAUUAGCUAGUUGGUAAGGUAACGGCCUACCAAGGCAACGAUGCGUAGCCGACCUGCGAGGGUGAUCGGCCACACUGGAACUGAGACACGGUCCAGACUCCUACGGGAGGCAGCAGUAGGGAAUCUUCCGCAAUGGGCGAAAGCCUGACGGAGCAACGCCGCGUGAGUGAUGAAGGUCUUCGGAUCGUAAAACUCUGUUAUUAGGGAAGAACAAAUGUGUAAGUAACUAUGCACGUCUUGACGGUACCUAAUCAGAAAGCCACGGCUAACUACGUG
rnacentral:rRNA from 1 species